GAAAUGCGAUAAGUAGUGUGAAUUGCAGAAUUCAGUGAAUCAUCGAAUCUUUGAACGCACAUUGCGCCCUAUGGUAUUCCGUAGGGCAUGCCUGUUCGAGCGUCAUUUACACCUUCAAGCCUUGCUUGGUGUUGGGUGACUGUGGCCCCUUUGGGGCCACUCGCCUUAAAGUCAUUGGCGGCCGGUUCGUUGGCUUUGUAGCGCAGCACAAUUGCGUCCUCGAAGCCGCUGGACCAGCUCCCAGAAACUAAUUUUAAAUGUUUGACCUCGAAUCAGGUAGGGAUACCCGCUGAACUUAAGC
rnacentral:misc_RNA from 1 species